rnacentral:rRNA from 3 species
GGACUACCGGGGUAUCUAAUCCCGUUUGCUCCCCUGGCUUUCGCGCCUCAGCGUCAGAAGGGAUCCAGUCCGCCGCUUUCGCCACCGGCGUUCCUUCGGAUAUCAACGCAUUUCACCGCUCCACCCGAAGUUCCGCGGACCCCUAUCCCCCUCGAGACCGCCAGUCUCCAAGGCACUUCCCCAGUUGAGCUGGGGGCUUUCACCCCGGACUUAGCGACCCGCCUACGCGCCCUUUAAGCCCAGUGAUUCCGAACAACGUUCGCACGGUUCGUCUUACCGCGGCGGCUGGCAC